GUGCUCCCUCUCAGUUCAAUUGUACUUUGGUGUGGCUUUGUGUGAUUGCUUCAUUCAAUUCCACUGUUCAAUAGCAUAGACUUGCAGAUUAUAUAUUACGGUAUUAUUAUUUAGCCAUUUGUAUUUAGUUGAGCCUUUUGUAGCAUGACAACCAAUCAUUUCUUCAACACUUGAAUGUUAAUAUUCAGUCGUAUGAGACAACUGGAUAUUGAGUGGGUAUACACGGUUUUGUGAUAUUAAAAAUGGGACUAAGAUUCAUCAUUUAAGAGGGCUUGUGUACACUUGUGCAACUACAGUACGUAUCAGUUUUUUGUUUCAACUGAGUUGAAAUGAAAAAAGCAAUCAAACAAGCUUUUAGACAAAUGAAAUUUACUCACCAUGCCCUUUUCUUCAAAUAGUGCAAAAAAAAAAAAAAGCACGAUUUCUUGAAUUGUCAUUUAUAGUGUUGGUGUAAUUUAAUAUUUUACUGUUAUGUUUCGUUAUUUACAAUGAAAUUGCUACCCCGUGAAAUAUCUGAGGGUCAUGAACGUACUA